CGACAUUUGUACCGCGUUAGUACUUGGAUGGUAGGCUAGGACCGACUUGGCUAGGGCAGAGCGAGUAAUACCAUCGGAUUGGGUAGAGGGGUACUUCCGAAGUACGGACAUUGGACCAAGCGUACAAGGAGCGCUGCAAAGAGCUUGGACCGCUUUCGCCAAGAUAUCAAUUCUUUCUGUUUAGUAUUUCCUUGUUCAUUCACAGCUGAGUCAAAUAUCAGCAUAUAACUAUGGGCAGUUUGGCUAGGAGAAUUCUUCGUGAUGUACUGCGACAUGCUAAAAGCAAUGAUUCGACUCGACAAGAGCGAUUUGAUUGGAGCUCAAACAUCGUGCUGCAACCCACGAAGCUUGUGACCCAAACAAGGUUCCAAGGCCGAAAAUGCACAUAUUCUGUAUGCAAAGAAUUUAUACCCUGACACCCUAUUGCUUCAAACUGUAUACCCUGGAUUUUACCUGUCACCUGAUUGAUGGAAUGUGGUCGUUUAAAUCAAGAGGAUGUUGCUGUCGCCAAGAAUGAUGUAAGAGGACCGAUAUCGUCACGUAACUAACUUAACUUACCAAAUCUUAUCUCGGCCUAGAUCCUUCCAUAUGAAGGAAUUGCUCGCAUUUGCAGCUGCAUGUCUCCCAUACUACGUACAAAGAAGUAUAUCAGUUUAGGAUCGAGGCCUGUCGUAAGUAUUCAUAACUAUCCAUAACCAGGCUAUCCGCCAGUAAUCUCAUACCAGUCUGUUCGAGUCAAUUGCCUGUGAGGGGUCCAGAACGUGAAAAGAGCCGGAGAAAAACAGAAAAGAAGCAAGCGGGGGAGGAGUAAAACAUGGUGUUU
rnacentral:lncRNA from 1 species